rnacentral:rRNA from 1 species
GAUGAACGCUAGCGGCGUGCCUAAUACAUGCAAGUCGAGCGAACAGACGAGGAGCUUGCUCCUCUGACGUUAGCGGCGGACGGGUGAGUAACACGUGGAUAACCUACCUAUAAGACUGGGAUAACUUCGGGAAACCGGAGCUAAUACCGGAUAAUAUAUUGAACCGCAUGGUUCAAUAGUGAAAGACGGUUUUGCUGUCACUUAUAGAUGGAUCCGCGCCGCAUUAGCUAGUUGGUAAGGUAACGGCUUACCAAGGCAACGAUGCGUAGCCGACCUGAGAGGGUGAUCGGCCACACGGGAACUGAGACACGGUCCAGACUCCUACGGGAGGCAGCAGUAGGGAAUCUUCCGCAAUGGGCGAAAGCUUGACGGAGCAACGCCGCGUGAGUGAUGAAGGUCUUCGGAUCGUAAAACUCUGUUAUUAGGGAAGAACAAAUGUGUAAGUAACUAUGCACGUCUUGACGGUACCUAAUCAGAAAGCCACGGCUAACUACGUG